GACGAACGCUGGUGGCGUGCUUAACACAUGCAAGUCGAACGGUGAAGCGCCUUCCUUUUUGGUGGGUGUGGAUGAGUGGCGAACGGGUGAGUAACACGUGAGUAACCUGCCCCCUUCUUCUGGAUAACCGCAUGAAAGUGUGGCUAAUACGGGAUAUUCUGGGUCUGUCGCAUGAUGGGUCUGGGAAAGAUAUUGUUUCGGUGGGGGAUGGGCUCGCGGCCUAUCAGCUUGUUGGUGGGGUGAUGGCCUACCAAGGCGGUGACGGGUAGCCGGCCUGAGAGGGUGGACGGUCACACGGGGACUGAGGCACGGCCCAGACUCCUACGGGAGGCAGCAGUGGGGAAUAUUGCACAAUGGGCGCAAGCCUGAUGCAGCGACGCCGCGUGAGGGAUGGAGGCCUUCGGGUUGUGAACCUCUUUCGCCAGUGAAGCAGGCCUGCCUCGUUUGUGGGUGGGUUGACGGUAGCUGGAUAAGAAGCGCCGGCUAACUACGUG
rnacentral:rRNA from 1 species